rnacentral:snRNA from 1 species
AUUGUCAUUGAAAAAUGAAUCCUAUUAAGGAUACAGAGAAGAUUAGCAUGGCCCCUGCACAAGGCUGACAUGCAAAUUCGUGAAGCGUUCCAUUUGUUU